ACCAGUGUGGCAUAGUGGUUUGAAUGUUGGACUAUGACUCAGGAGGCCAGGGUUCAAUUCCUAGCUCAGCCA
rnacentral:tRNA from 1 species